CCUACGGGUGGCAGCAGUGAGGAAUAUUGGUCAAUGGCCGAAAGGCUGAACCAGCCAAGUAGCGUGAGGGAUGACGGCCCUACGGGUUGUAAACCUCUUUUGUCCGGGAAUAAUGCGACUUACGUGUGGCUCUUUGCGUGUACCCUAUGAAUAAGCAUCGGCUAACUCCGUGCCAGCAGCCGCGGUAAUACGGAGGAUGCGAGCGUUAUCCGGAUUUAUUGGGUUUAAAGGGUGCGUAGGCGGCGGUGCAAGUCAGUGGUUAAAUUGCGGGGCUAAACCCCGGACUGCCGUGGAAACUGGAGCGCUUGAGUGCGCGGGAGGUAGGCGGAAUGAGUCGUGUAGCGGUGAAAUGCUUAGAUAUGACGCAGAACUCCGAUUGCGAAGGCAGCUUACCGGCGCGGAACUGACGCUGAUGCACGAAAGCGUGGGUAUCGAACAGGAUUAGAUACCCGAGUAGUC
rnacentral:rRNA from 1 species